ensembl:lncRNA
CAGCGAGCUCUCAGUGCCGUCGGGUGUUCCCACCUGGGCCGAGGAGGUGGUGCUGGGGAUGAGGUGCCCAGGCUGGGCCGGAGGUUGCUCCGGUCCGAUUCCCGACGCUGGGGCCGUGCUCGGAAUCCCUGCCGGAGUUGGUCGGGGGUCCCCGAUGCGUCACAGAACGGCUCAGAGAAGUGUCAUCCCCCUCUUGCUGGCAUCCUCAAAACAAGAGAAAACAAACCAACCAAACAAGCAAACGGAAAAGACAAAAUAAAAAUAACAAAAAUAAAGAAACAACAACAAAAAAAAGAAAAAUAGAAAACCAAACGGAAAAGAAAGGAAGAAAGGAAGAAAGGAAGAAAGGAAGAAAGGAAGAAAGGAAGAAAGGAAGAAAGGAAAGGAAGAAAGGAAAGGAAGAAAGGAAAGAAAGGAAGAAAGAAAGGAAGAAAGAAAGGAAGGAAGAAAGGAAGAAAGGAAGGAAGGAAGGAAGGAAGGAAGGAAGAGGAAGGAAGGAAGGAAGGAAGGAAGGAAGGAAGGAAGGAAGGAAGGAAGGAAGGAAGGAAGGAAGGAAGGAAGGAAGGAAGGAAGGAAGGAAGGAAGGAAGGAAGGAAGGAAGGAAGGGAAAAAGAAAAAAAAGAAAAAGAAAAAGAAAAAGAAAAAGAAAAAGAAAAAGAAAAAGAAAAAGAAAAGAAAAAGAAAAGAAAAAGAAAAAGAAAAAGAAAAAGAAAAAGAAAAAGAAAAAGAAAAAACCCUAAAAAACGGGGACUGCCUUGAAGUCCCCAACGCGCCGAUGGAUGUUUGUGCCGGAGCCAGCGGUGCCACCGAGCGCUCCCCCAUCCCUGCGCUGCUCCGGAGGGAAGAGGAAGGGGGGGAGGGGGGCUGAGGGCAGGACCCCCCCCCGCCCCGGGCUGUGCCUUCCACUCUGUUUGUUUGUUUUCACCAAAAUAAAUAAAUAACAACGCGGAUUUGUUUAUAAAAUUGACUCGUGCCCCUCUGAAACAAAUUGUUAUUAACCUUCCCCUUCUGAGCGUUUCAUAAUCACAGAUGUUAGUUUGGAGAUGAUAUCCCAACAUCCCAGGGGUACUUUUGAUAGCUGCAUGGGCGGGGAUUGAAUGCGGAGGUCGGAUAUUAAAUCAGCGGGAUACAGAAUUACUUUUUUCCACAAACCCGAGCUGGUUAAAUAGUUUCCCCCUCUACCUCUGAUAUGCAUUUCACUAUAAAUGGCGCGGGUAUUUGCAUAUAUAGUGCCUGGCCGCGUGUGUGUGUAUCGCAUGUGCCAUACACUGCAUUCAGGUACAGCGGAGCGCAGUAACAUCUUCACUAACCCUACUGCUCAGAUGCUCACUGAACAUACUUAUGGCAAAAAAAUAUGCUUAAUUAAUUACAUGGAGGGGCUGCACAAGUGCAGUGCGGAUACAUUUCCACUCGGCCCCAGGCUGUUGGAUUUAUUUUUCAUUUCUUCGCUUGAUAUUUUAUUUAUUUUUUAAUAGGACUUCGCUGCUUUGGUUGGGAAGGAGGGAGCCCGUCCAGCUGGCAGAGAGCUGCGUGCCAGCGAAAUGCUGCCAGGCCGUGGGCCUGCCCCUGUCCCUAUCCCUGUCCCUUUCCCUGUCCCUAUCCUUAUCCCUAUCCUAUCCCUAUCUCUAUUCCUGUCUCUAUCCCAUUCCUUAGCCCUCUCCCU